rnacentral:rRNA from 1 species
UACGUAGGGUGCAAGCGUUAAUCGGAAUUACUGGGCGUAAAGCGUGCGCAGGCGGUUAUGCAAGACAGAUGUGAAAUCCCCGGGCUUAACCUGGGAACCGCAUUUGUGACUGCAUAGCUGGAGUACGGAAGAGGGGGAUGGAAUUCCGCGUGUAGCAGUGAAAUGCGUAGAUAUGCGGAGGAACACCGAUGGCGAAGGCAGUCCCCUGGGCCUGUACUGACGCUCAUGCACGAAAGCGUGGGGAGCAAACAGG